rnacentral:miRNA from 1 species
UUCUAGUUCAUUUUUCAAAUC